AGGUGGAGGACGUAGAGAGGUGGAGGACGUAGAGAGGUGGAGGACGUAGAGAGGUGGAGGACGUAGAGAGAUGGAGGAUGUAGAGAGAUGGAGGAUGUAGAGAGGUGGAGGACGUAGAGAGAUGGAGGAUGUGGAGAGGUGGAGGAUGUAGAGGUGGAGGAUGUAGAGGUGGAGGACGUAGAGAGGUGGAGGAUGUAGAGAGGUGGAUGAUGUGGAGGAUGUAGAGAGGUGGAGGACGUAGAGAGGUGGAGGAUGUAGAGAGGUGGAGGAUAUAGAGAGUUUGAAGAAGUAGAGAGGUCAAGGACGUAGAGAGUUGGAGGAUGUAGAGAGGUGGAGGACGUAGAGAGUUGGAGGACGUAGAGAGUUGGAGGAUGUAGAGAGUUGGAGGACGUAGAGAGUUGGAGAAUGUAGGUGGUGGAGAGGUGGUGGAGAGGUGGAGGAUGUAGCAGAGAGGAGAGUGCAGGAGAGAGAGAGAAAUUGAGUGAGAGGUAGAAAGAGUGAUGGGGAUGAAACGUGGAAAUGGGCUAUGUGUCAAAG
ensembl:lncRNA